UCCAAGUUCCUUCAAUUUUUUUGAGGACAAGAAAAUUUUGCUUUCAAGAAAUUCACGAAUUUAUUGGCGUCAAGUUAAUAACGAACAAACUUGGAUGUCAAAUUGUGCUUUGAGAACACGUCAAAUUUGGCCUUGAAUAACUUGGUCAAUUUAUUGUUGAUGUAAAGUGCACUUAAGCUUUCCCUAUCACGGCUGGAUACAACCACUCAGCCGAUUUCUGCUGACAGCCAGCCGCUAUGGUCGUCCGAACGCACCCAUUAUUAGGGCCGGUACUUUAUGUCUCCGUUAACAGCCGGUUAGUUAACCGGGGUUUAAUCGGGACAGAAAUAUAUGCAUAAAAUAGACAUACACGCAAUUAUACUUAUUAUUAUGUUCAUAAAUAAUUAUAAUAAUAAUUACAAUUGCUUUUAUUACAACGCAAGAGGCCCUAUCAGGUACUUUUCUGUCCCGAUUAAACCCCGGUUAGCUAACCGAGGUUUAACCGGGACAUAAAGUACCGGCCCUAAGGGCCGGAAUCUAUGUUUAAGGAAUGGCGGGAAGUUUGAAAAUGGCCAUGAGCAACCAGCCAAAGCAAUCUAACCUUACAUUUAUAAAAGUGUUUUGUUAUUGUUUUUGUAUAAGUGAACUAUUUUAAUUUUAUCAAAUUUACGUUUUAUAUUAAUAAAAUGUAUCCUUAGAAUUUGAGGAACAAUUUAGUGAUGAUGAAAGAAUAAUAUAUUUCUUAAAUAACGCUUGAACCUGUACCACAGCCUGUACCAUACGAGAACGAAAAAAGUUAUGAAAGAAUUUGAUGAUAACAAUUUUUUAUUAAGGUUUAUAGUUUCCAUAAAAAUACUGUGAGAUAAUUUAUACAAGAGCUGGUUCCUGGUUUCCAUUAUGUAAUUCUUCAGUAGGUAUGAUGAGCCUAAUAUCACAGAUCAAGUUUUAAUAACUUUAAAAACUUAUAUUAUGAGUUGUUUUUAUUUAUUGUAUGGUUUUGGUGGUAUCCCUAUACAAAACAACUACUGAAAGAUUUAUAAAACCCAUGAAGUACUGGCAGAUAACGUAGUUGUUGAUAUUGAUAGAGAAUGUGUUAACACAGAAGAUAUUCCAUUUAUGAGUACUAAUGUAUAAACAUGCUAUAAAAUACUAUAAAAUUUAACAUUUAUAAUAAAUAUUUAAACCUUU